AAUAAUACUUCUGGCUUAGUUUGUAGAAGCUUAGCGUAGAAAUGGGUUUCCAGAAAAUUCAGAUUUGAAGCUUAGGUAGCUACUUUUGAGCCUAAACUUGUUCUAAUAUAUCUCAGUUCUUGACUAUGAAAUCAAAAUGUACAUGUAAAUUUGAGGUUAUUUAUGUAAACUAAGUGCUGAAGGUGCUUUAUAAAAUAAGAUAUACUUGGUUAAGUGGUCAUACAAAAUUUUAGUAGUAUCUUCUGUAUAGCACAACUAAGUGACUGAACUAUAAAGUGCCACAGCCCCAACGAGCGUGGAUAGUUCCACAAAGUUAGUAUAAUUUUGUCAGAACAACAUCCAAAAACAAAGUUGGUAUAAUUUUGUAUUCAGGUUGUAGAAGUACCAUUUUUGUCCAGUCUCUAUUGGAUUAUGGCAUAUUCCAGGAGCUCUGAAUCUUGUGGUAGUAAAAUAAAUGUACCACCUCGCAUGAUGGGCGAAUGUUUUGGCACGGAAGUUUUUGUCUCAUGUAGCUAUUGUUGAUGCUAAGUUGUGUCUACCAGCUUCAUAUGCCCCGUAGACAUCCUUAAUUUCUGGACUUAAUAGUGUGGGAUACACUUACUUUGGGGCGGGGUUGCUUUUAUCUUCACUCUGUAGAAGGGACAAGUCGAAUGAUGCUUGAUCUACUUGCUUAUCAGUUGUUGUUCUUCUUUUGGUGGAAUUCAUGUUCACGGUACCUGCCUUUUUUGUUGCAUCUGUGGAUGUCAAUCCCUUCUAAUAAUGUGACGGAUAAUAAAUUUUGCAGUUUGAUCAGCGACAGAAAUCAAUGGGUCUUCCUACAAGUGAUGAGGUGCAAAAGCAGGAGAUCCUAAAGAAAUUUAUGGCUGAGCAUCCAGAAAUGGACUUCUCUAGGGCAAAGAUGUCCUGAUUCACAGAGUUUUUGCUUAGUGAUCAUAUUUCUGAAUGUCAAAAGAAGAUAGAUCAUUUUCUGGCAUCUCUUUAGUUUGGCUGGGAUUCAAGAUGUUUUUGUGCAUAUGGGAAGCCUAUAUUCUAUAGUGACUUUUGGGUAGUCUCAGGAAGUAAUUACUUAUAUACUACUGUGGAGUAAUUGAUUACAAAACAGUAAACAUCUCUGAACAUCUUUAUGUUCUAUCAAUGCUGCCUGCUUCUAUGCUUAUUAUCUGUGCUUGUUUAA